rnacentral:misc_RNA from 1 species
GAAAUGUGAUAAUUAAUGUGAAUUGCAGAAUUCAGUGAAUCAUCGAGUCUUUGAACGCACAUUGCGCCCCCUGGUAUUCCGGGGGGCAUGCCUGUCCGAGCGUCAUUGCUGCCCUCAAGCACGGCUUGUGUGUUGGGCUUCCGUCCCUGGCAACGGGGACGGGCCCAAAAGGCAGUGGCGGCACCAUGUCUGGUCCUCGAGCGUAUGGGGCUUUGUCACCCGCUCCCGUAGGUCCAGCUGGCAGCUAGCCUCGCAACCAAUCUUUUUAACCAGGUUGACCUCGGAUCAGGUAGGGAUAUCCGCUGAACUUAAGC